rnacentral:rRNA from 1 species
AUUGAACGCUGGCGGCAUGCCUUACACAUGCAAGUCGAACGGUAACAGGUCUUCGGAUGCUGCCGAGUGGCGAACGGGUGAGUAAUACAUCGGAACGUGCCCAGACGUGGGGGAUAACGAGGCGAAAGCUUUGCUAAUACCGCAUACGAUCUAAGGAUGAAAGCAGGGGACCGCAAGGCCUUGCGCGUUUGGAGCGGCCGAUGGCAGAUUAGGUAGUUGGUGGGAUAAAAGCUUACCAAGCCGACGAUCUGUAGCUGGUCUGAGAGGACGACCAGCCACACUGGGACUGAGACACGGCCCAGACUCCUACGGGAGGCAGCAGUGGGGAAUUUUGGACAAAGGGCGAAAGCCUGAUCCAGCAAUGCCGCGUGCAGGAUGAAGGCCUUCGGGUUGUAAACUGCUUUUGUACGGAACGAAAAGGCUCUGGCUAAUACCUGGGGCACAUGACGGUACCGUAAGAAUAAGCACCGGCUAACUACGUG